rnacentral:lncRNA from 1 species
GUUGUCAAAUAGCCGGUAUAGCAUAACAUAAUUUGAACAUAUGUUCUGCAGUACACACUAUUUAGACAAAUUGGUGAAUAAUAGAGGUUAUAACAGCACUUAGUACUAUAACAUAGCAGAAUUUGAACAACUCACUUUUCGGUGAUCCACAAUUUACAUCAUUACAGUUACUUCCAUCAAAUGACACGAUUGGGGUCACAAAUGUGUAAUGACAUGACAAAAAUCCCAAACUAAGCCACAACACAACACAUCAGAAUUCAGAACGCAACUAAGUUUCUUUCUUCCACUUGAUGUUCUCUGUAUGUGCUUCUCUCAGCACGUUACAAAACAAUAUUUCAGUAUGCAGCAUAUAGCAAAGAUUCAAAAAUGGUAACAAUUUGAAAGGAAGAGAGUGCAACAUGUGCAUCUCUUGGAGAGUAAAACAACAGCAAUACAACAUGUAAACCUUAAAAUUACUUAGGUUUGCUACUCAGUGUCCUUUGUUAUUAAGUAUGAAUUGCAUGUUUGCUCUCAAUUGUUAAGGGGUUCUUUGUAGCAAAUUUUAGCAAAGUCGUGUCCAAUAGACACCGACACAUGUAAUUAUAUUCAAUCCAUUCAUUAUCUCAAAUCAUUAAUAAUUCAAAAUUUUAUUUCAUAGAUAGGUAAAUAACAUUU